GAGAUCUGAUAGUGACAAGUCAGAAACAAAAUCUGAGAAAAUGAUCUCAGAGGGGAGGACUGAUAGUGUCUCGAUCGUUUCAAGCCCACCUUCAUUGCCGGAGGAAGAAGACCUUGGAUGGGAUGAGAUUGAAGACAUUGGAAGCAUUGAUGAGAAUAAGGUGGGUGUGAGUGGGAGCCCUGCUAAUAAAGCUGAUCUGCGAAAGCGACUAAGUGCUGCAGAGGAAGACGAAGAUCUCACUUGGGAUAUUGAAGAUGAUGAUGAGCCUGCUAAGUCUUGAUCAAA
rnacentral:lncRNA from 1 species